rnacentral:tRNA from 1 species
UUGGCCGGCGGGGUCCCGGCCUCGAUCACCGCCUUGAGGCGGGGGUCGGCGCCCGGCAGCCCGGCGUUGGGACCGCCGCUGGCCCAGCC